GAAAUAAUGAGGAGAAUAUGAAGUUGCAGUCUCUGUUGUUUUCUCUUGAUAGUGGAACAAGCACUUUCAUAAACAGACUCCAUUAUUGAUUCAGCAAGAGAAAUAAGAAGGACUUACAUUUUCAUAGAAUGUUACGAAGUUCACAAACAACUAUUAUCCAAAGAAUUGAUAUGAAAAAUCUCUAAGAAAAUUAAAUCAAGAAAUCUUUCUGCUUGCAAGAACUAAUA
rnacentral:misc_RNA from 1 species